rnacentral:tRNA from 1 species
GUAUUGUGGCUCAGUGGUAGAGCACUCCCCUAGCAUGGGAGGCCCUGGGUUUGAUCCUCAGCAACA